CACAUGCCACCUAGCGGCUUCCCAAGCGGAAAAUUCCUUCUUGAACGUGAUUUACAGACGCGCCGCCUCUGCCGCCUGCUCCGUACGCCUCAAGCCCGCUGCUGAGGAGCACGGCCCGGGCCUCUCUGCAAACCUGCCCCGCGGCAGCCGCGGCCAAGAGCCGCCUGUCACCAGCCCCUCAGUGCACCCUCAGACUCCCCCGAGAAAUUUCCGCCUCCUUGGCCUGUGUUUACAGCUCUCUCCUGUUUUCUGCCAUGUUCAAAGCCUUCACGGAGCCUGCACCCAUUUGGCUGCUCACCUUACCCCUCUGGGCCACGGCCUUCACCAAAUAUCUGGCGGAGAGGAGGUUGUACAUUGUACUUUUAAAGCAUUCAGUGAUGGCGGACACUCACCACAAAGUUCAUGUUAGUUAAAAUCCUAGUUUUCCAAGGGAAAAAAAAAUCAGAAAUGCUUAAAGAGGUCUUUCCCUCUUUCUAACUUCUUGCAAGGGUCGGGGAGGAUUUUAUUGUACAGCUCAACAGCUGCUCUUUGAGUGCUACAGCCAUUUUCCUUCAGACAAAAGGUAUUACACCAUAGCCUUUCAGUUAGGCCAUUUCUCCAAGAAACGGGAAGUUCUGCCUCCAAAAGUGGUAAUUUGAUUUGUCUUGCUCCUUUCUCAACAAGGUGGCCUAACCCCUGUGUUGAUUGAAUGCCUGUGUGCCCCAGUCAGCCCCAGCGUGCUGCCAGCAAAGCGAGACGGUGUCUGCAGAGCAGGUGAGGGACACCCCGCAAGGACCAGCAGCACGGUCCCUCGGGACAAGCCCCGCUCCAGGCACGAUGCCUGUCAGAGGACACAGAGCAUGCAUUUGCUCUGUGAAAGGAAGAACUUUAUCAUCACAAAAUCAGGGCAAGGGCUGUCCAAGUUACUCUGGGCAAAGAAAGGAACUGGACCAUGUUAUCUCCGGUGUUUUCAUUAGGCAGAGGCAGCAUUUAAAAAGAAGCCACUUUCCCUAAAUAUUCAUUUCUGGGUUUCUAUUUCAAAUGCUUGAAAACAGAAUUCUUCCUCUUGAAAGUACUUGAAAGUUUUCUCUGCAAGAAAUUAUUUUAUUUUUCUAGGGGAAAAAAAAAACAAACCAAAACACUUAAAGCAACUCUUUCAACAUUUCGGAAAUGAUGUACCAUUUUUUUCUUUCAGACCAUUGGAGAAAUUACUUUCUUUUGUGAAAGGCCAGUGCUAGGCUUUACCACAGCCAAAAAUCAUUGAGCUAUGCUGACACCCCUAAACUAAUUUCUCCCCUCAUCAGUGUGGUCCUUAUCCUAUACAUUGUUUAAACCCGGGUGCUGAUCUUGGGUGCUGUGCAUCACCAGACCCUGAGGGCUGUGAGACAUUGUCCUGCCCUUCAAGCAUGGGUUCCUCACCAUAGCAAAGGCAAUGCCGGUGAAAUUAUGCCACAAACUGCCGCCCCGUGGCUUGGAGAGCCAGCUUUGCUGUGCAAAAGUCACAACACAGCUGUCCUUAUCAGUUAAUUACCAUCCAGAUGAUUGUGUCCAUGCAGAGGAACCGUGUGGCAAAUACAGCUGGAGCCCCUGGGCAUGACAAGGACCAUCAGAGCUCCGGAAGCACGAGGGGAGGGAGCAAAACUGACUUUCUAUCCUGGGUGCUCUGGGAAAGUCAAGGAAAUGGAAACAAGGGUGCACUCAGCAGCUAGAGGGCAGGCUCAUUUUUCCUUUAAAACUUGGGAAUCACUUCCUCACAGCUGCAGUGGCUUCUAGAGUAUCCAAGAGAAGUGGCUAAGAGAAAAGGAAUGUGAAGCAAGCUAAGGAGUCUCUGCAGAGUGUGGUCUCAGUUUUCUUCCAGUGUAUCCUGGAUAGGAUAGCAUGCACAGAUGGACACACAGCACAGAUGGACACACAGCCCUUCACAAAGAACUUUACAAAUACCUCACCCCACCUGGAUCUGUCCUUCAGCCUGAUGCCACUAGCCCUCAGCAACUCAAGCUG